AAAUUGAAGAGUUUGAUCAUGGCUCAGAUUGAACGCUGGCGGCAGGCCUAACACAUGCAAGUCGAGCGGAAACGAGUUGUCUGAACCUUCGGGGAACGAUAACGGCGUCGAGCGGCGGACGGGUGAGUAAUGCCUAGGAAAUUGCCCUGAUGUGGGGGAUAACCAUUGGAAACGAUGGCUAAUACCGCAUAAUGCCUACGGGCCAAAGAGGGGGACCUUCGGGCCUCUCGCGUCAGGAUAUGCCUAGGUGGGAUUAGCUAGUUGGUGAGGUAA
rnacentral:rRNA from 1 species